rnacentral:rRNA from 1 species
UCCGUAGGUGAACCUGCGGAAGGAUCAUUACAGAAUGAAAAGUGCUUAACUGCAUUUUUUCUUACACAUGUGUUUUUCUUUUUUUGAAAACUUUGCUUUGGUAGGCCUUCUAUAUGGGGCCUGCCAGAGAUUAAACUCAACCAAAUUUUAUUUAAUGUCAACCGAUUAUUUAAUAGUCAAAACUUUCAACAACGGAUCUCUUGGUUCUCGCAUCGAUGAAGAACGCAGCGAAAUGCGAUAAGUAAUAUGAAUUGCAGAUAUUCGUGAAUCAUCGAAUCUUUGAACGCACAUUGCGCCCUUUGGUAUUCCAAAGGGCAUGCCUGUUUGAGCGUCAUUUCUCCCUCAAACCCUCGGGUUUGGUGUUGAGCGAUACGCUGGGUUUGCUUGAAAGAAAGGCGGAGUAUAAACUAAUGGAUAGGUUUUUUCCACUCAUUGGUACAAACUCCAAAACUUCUUCCAAAUUCGACCUCAAAUCAGGUAGGACUACCCGCUGAACUUAAGCAUAUCAAUAAGCGGAGGAAAAG